ensembl:lncRNA
CCCACAUCCAUACAGUCACCCAAACACUCACCAGCACCACUCUCGCCGUCAAACAGGUACACAUCAGUGCAUCUGGAGUGUGGAAAUCUGAUUGCAUCUAGGUGCAUAGAAACCCACAGUAUGCACCAUGUGUUGGUGUUCUAAGGGUUUCUCUAAGGAGAGAGGAGAGGAGAAGUAUGAUUAAUACAACAAAAAUGUGUUUCUUUAUGGUAUGCGUUGAGUUGGUUGUUCAUGGACAAAUGGAAACGGGAUGCAAGUAAGCAGGGCGCAAGGGCGGUGAAGAGAAAGAUGACUCGAGGAAUACGCAUGUUGAGAGGGAAGGAGAGAGUGUAUCAAAAGCACGGAGGGGUCGGAGCAAACAAGUGUAAGAAGGAUGGCAGUUGAGGGAGGAAAAAUGUGGCGUUGAGUGUGGUGAGCGAGGAGGAAGGAGGGAGGGAAAAAGGAGAAGGGGGCUUCUGUCGUUCCCAGGGGCAGGCUGGGUAAUCUUGGGCAGUGGCAUAGCACAGUCCAUCACACCUCCUCGGAGCACCUUCUGCUCUGCACCAAAGCCCCGGUUGUUUGGCUACCUACUCCACACGCCCCCUCCUUUUUUCUGUCUCUCCCUUUCUUUUUUUCCUUUCUCUCUAUAAUGUCUUUUCCUUCAUCGUGUAUAAGCCCCUUUGCUUAUUUCCUUUCUUUUCUCCCUUCCCUCCCUUUGCUUUCAAGCGGCCUCUUUGUCUUUCUCUCUCUCUCUACCUACUCUGUAGUUCUCUCCCAUCCCCUUUCUCUCCCAUCAUCUCUCCCACUUCUCCCUUGUUCUAUCCAUUCCUCCCUCUCUCUGGCCCCUGCCUCCUGUUCUCUUUCGAUCUCCCUCUCCAUCUCUGUCCCUCUCUUCCCCUGUGCAUCUAUUUUUCUCCUCUCUCUCUCUCAGUCUCCUCCCUCUCUCCCUCUCUCUUCCCCGUCUUUCCCUCGUCACACUCCAGUGCAGAGUUUCUGGACUCAGACACAUUAUCCAGCAGAAGGAGGGAGUCGUAUAUUACCAGUCAUGAUUAAGCCAUCUGCUGGGAGCAGGCCAGAGAGGAGAGAAGACGAGAGGAGAGGAGGGGAGGGAGGGGAGGGGAAUAGAGGGAGCAAGAGAAUGAAAGAUGGAGAGAGAGACGAGAUGGGGGGGGGGGGUGUACUGAGGAAGAAAGGGAAAAGAGAAAGAUUUCAAGAUGUAGAGAAAGAGUGAGAAGGAGCUGUAUUAUAGGGAGAAAGAGAGAGAGAGAGAGAGAGCAAAAUGGAGGGCGGGGGAAGUCGGAUGAAAGGGAGAGAGAUAUAUUGCAAUAGAGGGAGGGCACAAGUGAGGGAGGAGGGUGAAGCUACAGAGAGAGGGGGGAGAGAGAGAGAGCAAACACAGGGACAGAGGGUUAGAAAAAAGAGAGGGAGAGUUAGAGAAGGAGGGAGGGGAAAAGAGACCUAAGGUGAGGGAAAGGGAGAGAGAAAGGGUGAGAUUGGUGGCGGUAGAGGGGAGAGGGAAAACACAGAACAAUGCUGCCCCCUAUGGUCUGAAGGCCGUCACCAUCUCCCUUCCUGCUGUCCUCUCUGCCCUCGCUUUGUCAGCCUGGCGUGGCUCGCCAGCGGUACCCAGAGAGAUCUGCUACUUAUCGACCUGUCGGGUCUGGUCUGCCUGCGCUGUCUGAUGCAGAAGCAAGCGUGUGUUCAGCCAAAGUUUUUUUUAUUGAUAUUGCCGUUGCUCUGUUGAGACACCCUCCCCAGUGUGAGGGCAGUCUAGAUUGGUAAUGGCUG